UACGGGGGGGCGAAGCAGUUGUUUCGGCGAAAUUACUGGGCGUAAAAGGGCUCGUAGGCGGCCAACUAAGUCAGACGUGAAAAUCCCCUCGGCUUACCGGGGAACUGCGUCUGAUACUGGAUGGCUUGAGAUUUGGGAGAGGGGAUGCGGAAUUCCAGGUGUAGCGGUGAAAUGCGUAGAUAUCUGGAGGAACACCGGUGGCGAAGGCGGCAUCCUGGACCAACACUGACGCUGAGGAGCGAAAGCCAGG
rnacentral:rRNA from 1 species